UAUGAAUGGAACUUCCUCUCGCCUACUCGCAACAGAGAUUGACCGAAUAAGUUAGCAGAGGCGAUGUUAAACAAAACUCAUGGGUUUAAUACCAGCUCAAAGUUUUUAAGGAGACUGCUCGUAACAACCGUUGAUAAGAGAUACCAAGUGCUAUAGUCGAAGAAAAGAAACUGGAAAGGGACUAAAAUUAGAGGAUGAAAAGAGCAGAGUUUAAAAAAAUACCUUUCU